UGUUCAAGAUUCUACCAACAGAUUAACUUGAGUUCACUUUACUUAACUCAGGUUACUUUUGAAGACUUACCAUGGUUCACUUCAUCUAUAAAAAGGACAGACUCCGAAGACAGAAGACAGGUCCAGAUUUUAGGUCCAGUUCUAAGGUUUAAAUUUUAAGUCUAAGUUUCCAUUCCAAGGUCCAAGCUUUAGAUAGACUUUGUAAUAGACUUCCCUUUCCCUCUCCGAAAGACUUUUGUACUUUACUUUCUUUUUGUAAUCUUGUAACCUUCCCUUCAGACAGAUAAUCUUGUAAUCUUACCUUUCCAGACAGACAAUCUUGUAACCCUUUACAGAUUUUACUUUGUAAUCUUGUAACUCUUCAGAUAGUGUUUAUUUUCAAAGCUUGUAAGAAAGACAGAGGUUUUCAGUUUUAAUCAAAGACAGAAGUAUUUUCAAGCACGGCCAAGACUGGGGUCCAUGGGUUCUUCCAACUCUUGGGCACGAAAGCGAAGGUGGAGGACAGGGAGAUUGGAGGAGGGUUGGGAGUCGGAGCCAUCGAAGAAGACAUUUCCAUGGGUUCUACUUUCACUUCCACUUCUAUUUCUUGGGGAGUGUUUGGUUAAGGAGAAAAUUAGAGUUUUGUUUUCCCUCAAUUAUAUCCACAACAGAUUCAUAGUCACCCAAAACAUCCAUUUCUUUCA